rnacentral:rRNA from 1 species
UGCGCUUGUGACUGCAAGGCUAGAGUACGGCAGAGCGCGGUGGAAUUCCACGUGUAGCAGUGAAAUGCGUAGAGAUGUUUUGGAACACCGAUGGCGAAGGCAGGGCCCUGGGCCGAUACUGACGCUCAUGCACGAAAGCGUGGGUAGCAAACAGGAUUAGAUACCCUGGUAGUCCACGCCCUAAACGAUGUCAACUAGGUGUUGGGUGGGUAAAACCAUUUAGUACCGUAGCUAACGCGUGAAGUUGACCGCCUCCGGAGUACGGCCGCAAGGUUAAAACUCAAAGGAAUUGACCCGGACCCGCACAAGCGGUGGAUGAUGUGGAUUAAUUCGAUGCAACCCGAAAAACCUUUUCUACCCUUGACAUGUCCGGAAGCCUGAAGAGAUUUCCCUGUGCCCGUCUGGGAACCGGAACACAGGUGCUGCAUGGCUGUCGUCAGCUCGUGUCGUGAGAUGUUGCGUUAAGUCCCCCAACGAGCGCAACCCUUGUCGUUAAUUGCCAUCAUUUAGUUGGGCACUUUAACGAGACUGCCGGUGAUAAACCGGAGGAAGGUGGGGAUGACGUCAAGUCCUCAUGGCCCUUAUGGGUAGGGCUUCACACGUCAUACAAUGGUCGGUACAGAGGGUUGCCAAGCCGCGAGGUGGAGCCAAUCCCAGAAAGCCGAUCGUAGUCCGGAUCGCAGGCUGCAACUCGCCUGCGUGAAGUCGGAAUGCCUAAAUCGUGCGGAUCAGCAUGUCGCGGUGAAUACGUUCCCGGGUCUUGUACACACCGCCCGUCACACCAUGGGAGCGGUUUCCGCCAGAAGUAGGUAGCCUAACCGCGCCGGAAGCGCUUACACGGCCGGGUGACUGGGUUCGGGUGAAGUCGUAACAAGGUAA